rnacentral:rRNA from 1 species
UGGGGAAUAUUGCACAAUGGGCGCAAGCCUGAUGCAGCAACGCCGCGUGGGGGACGAAGGCCUUCGGGUUGUAAACCUCUUUUGGCAGGGAAGAAGCGAAAGUGACGGUACCUGCAGAAAAAGCACCGGCUAACUACGUGCCAGCAGCCGCGGUAAUACGUAGGGUGCAAGCGUUGUCCGGAAUUAUUGGGCGUAAAGAGCUCGUAGGCGGUGUGUCACGUCUGCUGUGAAAAUCCAAGGCUCAACCUUGGACUUGCAGUGGGUACGGGCACACUCGAGUGCGGUAGGGGAGAUUGGAAUUCCUGGUGUAGCGGUGGAAUGCGCAGAUAUCAGGAGGAACACCGAUGGCG